AGGAGAUGGUGCAGACUGGCAAUGUCAAUAAAUCAACAGAGAAGAAAAACAAGCAACAAAUUGAUGGAAACUGGUACCUGAUGAGGCAAGGUGGAAAGAGGCACAAGGAAUUCCAGGAUCUUAGUCUCCUUCGAGGUUACGGGAGCAAGCUCCACAUGAGGAGCUCAGUGGUUUAGAGGGCUGUUUGUGAUUGUGACUCCUCUAGUCUCACCUGCACUCAGCUGGAGAAAGAUAAGAAAAACAACUCACUGAAUUUUUGGCUCCAUGGAGACGUGGCUAUGUGGAGAGUCCUAAGCUUCAUACGGACGCUUAGACAAGGCAAACAGGCAUACGUGCAGUCACGUGGCUGGGUAGAUGUGUGCUGAGGAGCAUCUGUGAAGCGAUUUCCCACUAUCUUAGCAGUUUGUAGGUCUAUAAAGAGUGACGG
ensembl:lncRNA